GAUGAACGCUAGCUACAGGCUUAACACAUGCAAGUCAAGGGGAAACGACAUCGAAAGCUUGCUUUUGAUGGGCGUCGACCGGCGCACGGGUGAGUAACGCGUAUCCAACCUGCCCAUCACUUGGGGAUAACCUUGCGAAAGUAAGACUAAUACCCAAUGAUAUCUCUAGAAGACAUCUGAAAGAGAUUAAAGAUUUAUCGGUGAUGGAUGGGGAUGCGUCUGAUUAGCUUGUUGGCGGGGUAACGGCCCACCAAGGCAACGAUCAGUAGGGGUUCUGAGAGGAAGGUCCCCCACAUUGGAACUGAGACACGGUCCAAACUCCUACGGGAGGCAGCAGUGAGGAAUAGUGGUCAAUGGGCGAGAGCCUGAACCAGCCAAGUAGCGUGCGGGAAGACGGCCCUAUGGGUUGUAAACUGCUUUUAUAAGGGAAUAAAGUGAGAGUCGUGACUCUUUUUGUAUGUACCUUAUGAAUAAGGACCGGCUAAUUCCGUG
rnacentral:rRNA from 1 species